rnacentral:rRNA from 1 species
GUAGGUGGCAAGCGUUGUCCGGAAUUAUUGGGCGUAAGCGCGCGCAGGUGGUUCUUUAAGUCUGAUGUGAAAGCCCCCGGCUCAACCGGGGAGGGUCAUUGGAAACUGGGGAACUUGAGUGCAGGAGAGGAAAGUGGAAUUCCACGUGUAGCGGUGAAAUGCGUAGAUAUGUGGAGGAACACCAGUGGCGAAGGCGACUUUCUGGCCUGUAACUGACACUGAGGCGCGAAAGCGUGGGGAGCAAACAGGGAUUAGAUACCCUGGUAGUCCACGCCGUAAACGAUGAGUGCUAAGUGUUGGGGGGGUUUCCCGCCCCUCAGUGCUGCAGCUAACGCAUUAAGCACUCCGCCUGGGGAGUACGGUCGCAAGACUG